GUCUGCAACCCGACUACAUGAAGCUGGAAUCGCUAGUAAUCGCGGAUCAGAAUGCCGCGGUGAAUACGUUCCCGGGUCUUGUACACACCGCCCGUCACACCAUGGGAGUCGGAAAUGCCCGAAGUCUGUGACCCAACCGAAAGGAGGGAGCAGCCGAAGGCAGGUCGGAUGACUGGGGUGAAGUCGUAACAAGGUAAC
rnacentral:rRNA from 1 species